GAGACCCGUGCCCACUGUUACCAGCAUGUCCUCCGGGAUGAUGGGUACUCUGUGGGGACCGCCGGUGUUAAAUCGGAGGAAGGUGCGGGCUACGGUAGGUCAGUAUGCCCCGAAUUUCCCGGGCUACACGCGGGCUACAAUGAAUGGGACAAUGGGUCCCUCCCCUGAAAAGGGCUGGUAAUCUCACAAACCCAUCCUUAGUUCGGAUCGAGGGCUGUGACUCGCCCUCGUGAAGCUGGAAUCCGUAGUAAUCGCGUUUCAAUAUAGCGCGGUGAAUAC
rnacentral:rRNA from 1 species